rnacentral:rRNA from 1 species
AGUGGCGGACGGGUGAGUAACACGUGAGAAUCUGCCCUUAGGAGGAGGAUAACAGCUGGAAACGGUUGCUAAUACUCCAUAUGCCGAGAGGUGAAAGGAUGUAUCUGCCUAAGGAGGAGCUCGCGUCUGAUUAGCUAGUUGGUGGGGUAAUGGCCUACCAAGGCGACGAUCAGUAGCUGGUUUGAGAGGAUGAUCAGCCACACUGGGACUGAGACACGGCCCAGACUCCUACGGGAGGCAGCAGUAGGGAAUUUUCCGCAAUGGGCGAAAGCCUGACGGAGCAAUACCGCGUGAGGGAUGACGGCCUGUGGGUUGUAAACCUCUUUUCUCAAGGAAGAAGUUCUGACGGUACUUGAGGAAUAAGCAUCGGCUAACUCUGUGCCAGCAGCCGCGGUAAUACAGAGGAUGCAAGCGUUAUCCGGAAUCACUGGGCAUAAAGCGUCUGUAGGUUGUUUAGUAAGUCUGCUGUUAAAGACUGGGGCUCAACCCCAGAAAAGCAGUGGAAACUGCUAGACUUGAGUGUGGUAGAGGUAGAGGGAAUUCCUAGUGUAGCGGUGAAAUGCGUAGAUAUUAGGAAGAACACCAAUGGCGAAGGCACUCUACUGGGCCAUAACUGACACUGAGAGACGACAGCUAGGGGAGCAAAUGGGAUUAGAUACCCCAGUAGUCCUAGCCGUAAACGAUGGAUACUAGAUGUUGCACGUAUUAACCCGUGCAGUAUCGUAGCUAAAGCGUUAAGUAUCCCGCCUGGGAAGUAC